rnacentral:tRNA from 1 species
GGGCUGGGGCUCAGUGGUAGAGUGCUCACCUAGUAUGCGUGAGGCACUGGGUUCGAACCUCAGCACUACA